rnacentral:rRNA from 1 species
AUAAACACCUUUAUACUGCGAAACUGCGAACGGCUCAUUAUAUCAGUUAUAAUCUACUUGAUCGUAUCCUCUUACUUGGAUAACCGUAGUAAUUCUAGAGCUAAUACAUGCAAAAGUUCCCGACUGGUGACGGAAGGGAAGUAUUUAUUAGGUCCAAAAUCAAUGCUGGCCAUUCCAAACUGGGUGGGUCAAACUGCGGGGUCUCGAGAAUUUANAAGACUCAUAAUCUCUAAAAAACGCACAGUGCUCUUCGCCGCGCCGAUAAUAAAAACUUUUUGCCCCCUUAUCAUUUUACGGGGGAAUAAGGGGGGACCACGGGGGCCACGGGGGGAAGGGGGUAAAANCCAGAUAUGGGUCGCANACUAUUCCUUCNCAUUUCUGCCCCAANCNCUCNAUGGUNAUANANGCCUACCNUGGUCCCAACNGGUAGGCCCCAUUUUUACCNCGNUNUUUCU